CUAAACUUUAUUGAAGUUCAGACAGCAAGGCUUCAGAGACAGAAAUCUGACACAAGAUGCUAAUACUUUUUAUUUGGUUUAGUUUUUACAUUUGUGGAACUAAAGCUGCACAAAAUGUCUCACAAACUCCUCUUGAGGUUGUGAAAUUUGCCGGUGAAUCAACCAACGAAAUGAAAUGCUCUCAUAAAGAUUCAACAUUUGAACAGAUCCUCUGGUACAAACAGGACAAAAGCGCUACAUUCAAAUUCCUCGGCUUCCUGAACUUGAAAAAUGCCUACCCCGAAGACGAUGUCAAAGAUCGCAUUCAGUUAAGUGGAAAUGGACGUUCCGAUUCCACUCUCUCUAUAGGGAACCUGACAGUAGAAGACAGCGCUGUGUAUUUCUGUGCAGCCAGACGCCACAGUGCUGCAGAGCCUUAUAAAGCUCUCACAAAAACCCUCCAUGUGAAAUAUCAGACCAAAGAGCCACCUGCAAACAGAAAAACCACUACUCAAGUCAGAUAAAAACUAUGUAGACUAUGAAGCCAGCAUCUAU